ACUGAUGGGGAAUUAGGCCUGAGCCUCCAGAGAUGCUGGCCCUCCAGGUUCCAGGCUGUGGUGUUGCCAUUUACUCUGGAUCGCAGAACCCCCUCCUUCCUCUGUCAACGGAUAUUGGUAAGGAACCUGUGCACUCAAGACUCAGGAAAUGCAAGGCCACAUGAUGAGACAGUCUUUUUCUCUGGGACAUCACACUGCUGUAUGUGGUGGAAUGCCAGAGCAGGCGCCUAACAGCGCAGUCACCAGACAGAGGGGCAGGGCAUCAGGGUGCUUUGCACAGUGUUUGGUUCACAUGGUGGGCACACUGUCCCUGUACCUUUUGCUCUGUUCUCACCACAACUACCAGAGCUAGAUCCUUCUGAUGUUAUAUCUCCUCAUCUCCCUUACAUCCUGACCACUGUUAACUAGAUCAAACUCCAUGACUACCUCCCAUUGUUCCCCUUCCAUUCUUACAUGCUUUCCCACCACUUGUGAGAGAAAGCCUCAAAUCUGUGGACUAGUGUUCAGUGCCCUUCACCUGCUAACUCCUCUGCAGUCUCCAACCCCCACUGCAGACGUGUGUGUGUGUGUGUGCGUGCAUGCACACACAUGUGCACACUACACACAAAGGGAGCUUCUGCUUUGGUCCGGCUAUUUCCCCACAACUCCCCCAAGAAAUUAUGAACUUCCCACCUUCGGUAACCCCUGCCAUUCCUCUGAGGCUUCUGAGCCACCAGCUUGAGCCAUAGGCCUUGUAUGGAGCUUUUGUCACCACAGGCCCACUCUGACCUUCCCUCCUCAGAGCUCCUACGACCAUCACUACUCAUGAGGAGCCUGCUUUGGAGCAUGGUGCACUGAAGAAGGCAGCAGUAAAUUGAGGUGGAAAUGCCCAACAGACAGAUCAGAUGGUGGAUUAGGGCUAAACUGGUGUAGGGGUGGGGCCCACAGCACCAAGGUACUGUGGGUAGUAGGAAUGCAGAGAAAUAGGAGCAGAGGGACAAGGACUGAAUUCUAUAGCUAUGGCUUAUUCAAGGCAAAGAGGAGAAGUUUGGGUAGGAAGAGA